ACCAACAGUCACAAGAGAAACAGAUGACUCCAUAACUUAUACAAUAUCAAGACAUGCAUAACAAUCAAGGCACAAGAAGAAUCUUCUUGGGGCAUUACCAAGCCCUCCUAGAAUACCUGACAAUACCCAAUCCUUUACUGUAUCUGCAAGUCAGGUAGAUGUACCAAGGGUAACCACUACUUACUGGUUUGAAGCUAUGAAACUUUCUCCUGCCCUCACUUACAAUAUGAAAUACAUCAUUAAAUUUUCUCCUCAUAGUCACUUCUGGGAAUGAGCCAUUUGUCUAUCAUAUUGUCAUUUAUUUAUGUGAUGGUCUUUAUGAAUCAGAUCUUGGAGCUGAAGGAUCAGGAGAGUGCUAUGGGGGUGUUAGUGAUCAUGUUGCUGACUGCAAUCCCAUUUGCUGUAUGGGGAGUAGGAGGAAGUGAUUUUACUUUUCCUAGUAACAUUGCUUAUCUAUCCCAUUGGAGGAGCUAAAAGUCCUCAUUAUGCAGUCAUUGAAUUACACUACAAUAAUCUGGAUCACAUCUCAGGUAUUGUUGAUAGCUCAGGCAUUGAGUUCACAUACAUUGAUACUCCAAGAGAAUAUAAUGCUGGAGUGAUGACUGUUGGUCACAUUAAUGAUAAUACAAUGGUUAUUCCACCCAAUACAGUUGAUUACUCAGUAACUGGCCUUUGUCUUCCAGAAUGCACAAGAAAUUUCCUACCUCCUGAUGGUGUCAAGGUAUUUGCCAACAUGUUCCACACUAAUACAGCAGGAUCAAAGCUUAUCGUUUGUCAUAUUAGACAUUUGGAGUGUUCUCCAGGUGUCUCAAGAUAUGAAGAGCUUAGCCCAAUUGAUAAAAAUUAU